rnacentral:rRNA from 1 species
AGUGAACGCUGGCGGUAGGCCUAACACAUGCAAGUCGAACGGCAGCACAGUAAGAGCUUGCUCUUACGGGUGGCGAGUGGCGGACGGGUGAGGAAUACAUCGGAAUCUACUUUUUCGUGGGGGAUAACGUAGGGAAACUUACGCUAAUACCGCAUACGACCUACGGGUGAAAGCAGGGGAUCUUCGGACCUUGCGCGAUUGAAUGAGCCGAUGUCGGAUUAGCUAGUUGGCGGGGUAAAGGCCCACCAAGGCGACGAUCCGUAGCUGGUCUGAGAGGAUGAUAGGCCACACUGGAAGUGAGACACGGUCAAGACUCCUACGGGAGGCAGCAGUGGGGAAUAUUGGACAAUGGGCGCAAGCCUGAUCCAGCCAUACCGCGUGGGUGAAGAAGGCCUUCGGGUUGUAAAGCCCUUUUGUUGGGAAAGAAAAGCAGCAGGUUAAUACCCCGCUGUUCUGACGGUACCCAAAGAAUAAGCACCGGCUAACUUCGUG